AUGGAUGUACUGGCGGUAGUGUCACUACAGAUGUUAAAUCCGUAUCCGUAUCAAAAAGAUCCUCUCUGAUCCAUAUCACACUACGCACUGGAGUCAUUGGAAAUUGCGGACGACCGAAGAUUAGAAUAAUUAUAAUUCGGCCAAUCCUUAACCUUCAUCCUAAUCGGUUCUGCUCUGACGAACAACGGGAUUACGUGCUCACACACGUGCACCUCGACUUGUGUGCGUAUGGGCGAAGGGUUAAGCCUCGGAGAACUGUCAAAAGUGGAUGUCAAAGACGGUGGACGAUAAGUGCAAUACGGCGAUGUGGAGCGUUGACUGUCACCAUCACGACGAGCCGCUCGUCAAGAAGUAGACCAUCCGAUUGCCUCGAGGAACAUGGACCGAAUCCCGGAUGACCGAGGAGUUCCGUCACUCGCCGUCUAGUGGGGAUCCAGGAACGUGUGCUGAAGUGUACCCACAGCGGAGCACCGUGACCCGAUCACGUCCCCAAGGUCCGAUCGAAGGAUGCGAAGGAUGCCUACUGACAUUUUCCUGGGAAACAGCGGCACCCUUCAUCGCUCCUUGAUGUUCAUACUGAAACUCGGCUGGCAGUCGAGAUUCCGCUUGCCCGUGCUCCUGGUAAUCGUCUUCGUCGCCAUGGACUACAGGCUGCAGCUGGAGAUCGAAUUCGGGGACAACGCGGACCAACACGAUGACCUGUGAUCUGAAAUACACAAGAUCGGAUAAAUAAUAUAAUACGUAUACAUGAGAUAGUUUCUACUUCGAAACGCGAAAGCAGAAACGCGACCUGUAUUGGACUGGAGCGCUUGGAAAGUAGCGUUAACGGUUGAUCGGUAGUAAUACGUUUUUUCAUACGUUUUAAACAAUUUCAACUCGCCGUUGCAACUUUGUGCUUAGUACUUGUUGACUAUUGGCACUUGGACUUGCCAGACUCUCCUCUCCUCUGACAUAUGCAUUUGACAUAUACAAUUAAUUUAAAAUUUUUAUAAUGCUAUUUAUCUUAUAUAAUAUAGUCUAAUGUAUUAUUCUAUCUUAAUGUGUCUUAUAACAUAUUUAUAUCAUAAAUUAUACGAGUACAUUGUCUAAAUUAAACUGAUAAGCAUAAUUUAAUGGAAUUUUAUUACAGAAGUUUGUAACAAAAAAAUAGGUAUGAGAAAAUUGAAUUUCAGAAAAAUCUCUGAGAAGUAAAAUUGAGAUUUUUAUUUAACCGUAAAAAAAAAAUGAAUACAAGUAGCAGAGUUAAUAGAAGUUUAGGAAAUAUACGAAAUUGCAUGAAAGGAAA